GACUGGAUAACUCAGUCAGUAAAGCAUCAGACUUUUAAUCUGCGGGUCCAGAGUUCCUGUCCCUGUUCAGGCA
rnacentral:tRNA from 1 species